GAGCGAGCCGGCUCGCGUUCGACUCGUGUUCGGCUCGAUAUUCGGCUCGCUCGAGCUCGACUCGAAAUUAAAUGAGCCGAGCUUGAACAAAAUAAAAGGCUCGAAAUUCAUUUCAAGCCGAGCUUGAGUAUUACUCGGCUCGUUCGAAUUAGGCUCGAAAAGCUCGAAAAGCUCAAAAAUAUAUAUAUAUAUAGGCUGGGGCUACUAUACUCAUAUGAGUAUAGAGUCCUUUGUACUCAUAAGUUUUCGACCGUUCAGAUGAAAAAAUGUACGGUUAGGAUAAAAGUGGUUACGGUUAAAUUGAUAGUGGGCCCCCUAGAAUUGAGUGGGUGGUUGGUUGAAUAGUAUAAUCGAAUGGGUGAAAACAGCCAAAAAUUUAUGAGUACAAUAGACUCUAUACUCAUCAAAGUAUAGUAGCCAAGCACUCUCUCUCUCUCUCUCUCUCUCUCUCUAUAUAUAUAUAU
rnacentral:lncRNA from 1 species